UAACGCGUAUGCAACUUGCCUAUCAGAGGGGGAUAACCCGGCGAAAGUCGGACUAAUACCGCAUGAAGCAGGGAUCCCGCAUGGGAAUAUUUGCUAAAGAUUCAUCGCUGAUAGAUAGGCAUGCGUUCCAUUAGGCAGUUGGCGGGGUAACGGCCCACCAAACCGACGAUGGAUAGGGGUUCUGAGAGGAAGGUCCCCCACAUUGGUACUGAGACACGGACCAAACUCCUACGGGAGGCAGCAGUGAGGAAUAUUGGGCAAUGGCCGAGAGGCUGAACCAGCCAAGUCGCGUGAGGGAUGAAGGUUCUAUGGAUCGUAAACCUCUUUUAUAAGGGAAUAAAGUGCGGGACGUGUCCCGUUUUGUAUGUACCUUAUGAAUAAGGAUCGGCUAACUCCGUGCCAGCAGCCGCGGUAAUACGGAGGAUCCGAGCGUUAUCCGGAUUUAUUGGGUUUAAAGGGUGCGUAGGCGGCCUUUUAAGUCAGCGGUGAAAGUCUGUGGCUCAACCAUAGAAUUGCCGUUGAAACUGGGGGGCUUGAGUAUGUUUGAGGCAGGCGGAAUGCGUGGUGUAGCGGUGAAAUGCAUAGAUAUCACGCAGAACCC
rnacentral:rRNA from 1 species